GCAGUGGGGGUCAAUGGUGGAAUUCUUACCUUCCAUGUAGGAGACCUGGGUUCAAUUCCCGGCCAAAGCA
rnacentral:tRNA from 1 species